rnacentral:rRNA from 1 species
UAAUACGUAGGGGGCGAGCGUUGUCCGGAAUCAUUGGGCGUAAAGCGCGUGUAGGCGGCUUGCCAAGUCCGGUGUGAAAUCUCGGGGCUCAACCCCGAAACUGCAUUGGAAACUGGCUUGCUAGAGUCCGGAAGAGGAGAGUGGAAUUCCUGGUGUAGCGGUGAAAUGCGCAGAUAUCAGGAAGAACACCGGUGGCGAAGGCGGCUCUCUGGGACGGUACUGACGCUGAGACGCGAAAGCGUGGGUAGCGAACAGG